ACUUGGAUAUCGGCCCGCGCGGCCCGAGAUUUUCGUUCACCUGCGGCCGCCGCGUUUUGUGUCAGAAAUCGGGCCCCGUGAGGGGGGUACCUAUUUGUUUUGUUUCGUUUAUAGUGUUCUUUUCAAUUUAUGGAUUACUUCCGCCUAUCAAAUUAAAGAGGAAAGAAAGGCGCGUAUUAUGGCGUUUUCCACUUCGGGAUCGGUUGUGUGUGUUCGGAGUUACAAGGAGUUAAAAAUAAGCCCCUGAUCACAACCUGCCACUGUUCCAUUGGAUUUAUUGACAGCUCACCAGAAUAAAUCCUGACUUUAAUUAAAAUCCAGAAAUGCUUGCGGAGUUGGUCGAAUUCACAGAAAAACUUGUUUGAACAAGUUGCAAAAAAAUUGAGCACUUAAGAAAGCAUUUGUUGCAGACAAGAAAAAAAAAUUGACAUUAAUUUAACAAUAUCAAGUUGGCAGACUGGGUGAACUAAACAAUUGCCAGAAAUAAAGAAAGAAUAAAUAAGUAUCGUGACACAAUUGCGUGCUUCAAAAAACAUGUCAUAUUUCACAACUAAUUGUCUUUGAAGAAGUUGAACAUUUAAAUA